UACGAAGGGGGCUAGCGUUGCUCGGAAUUACUGGGCGUAAAGCGCACGUAGGCGGAUUGUUAAGUCAGGGGUGAAAUCCUGGAGCUCAACUCCAGAACUGCCUUUGAUACUGAAGAUCUUGAGUCCGGGAGAGGUGAGUGGAACUGCGAGUGUAGAGGUGAAAUUCGUAGAUAUUCGCAAGAACACCAGUGGCGAAGGCGGCUCACUGGCCCGGUACUGACGCUGAGGUGCGAAAGCGUCGGGGAGCAAACAGG
rnacentral:rRNA from 1 species